ACACAGCUGGGUGUAGUAAACUGUCUGCCCACGACCACAUUAAAUAGAAGGAGGAAGAAAGAAGCUGCACUGCAUGCAGUAAUGCUUUUAGCAUUGCAGUGGUGUGGGAAGUCAAGGAAUGUGGAAGUCGAGGUAUUCAUUUCCACCUGGUAUAAAAGUUUAGGCUAGGCUAGCAACUUCAACUUAUAAUUUAACUCUUAUAAUUCCUAUGCAUGGGUGCACAUAUGUGUACAUAUGUGAAAACAAGCAAUGGUGGUGCUACAAACUACUUCCACGUUAGAAUGUUAGCAUAUUAGCACAUAUCUUUUAAUGUAGGCAUUUUUAAGUGUUGACAUACUUUAAGCCACAUCUGUCAUUGCUAAUGUGUACUAGCGUGUGACUAAUGUGCGAAAGCAGAAGAGAAGGCAAAGGCAGACAAGCUAGCCCAAUACAAAGGAAAGUGGUUAAGGAUACUGGGAUUAACUAAUAAGGACUGAAAACCAGAGCAUUUAAAGAGGAAAAACGCAAUAGCGUCUGUACACAAAUACUGUAUUUGUGGUCAAUCAGUAUAAUUUUGCAGGCACAAAACCAGUAGAAACUUUGUCCUCCUCUGAACUGGUUGCACAGACAGCAGUGUUUGGAAACAGCUUGUUCCUGUGCUGGCUGGGUUUCAGGUGAUGCAUCUCUGAAAACUGUACUCUCCAGGUCACGCUAUUCAGUGUGUGGCAAGAAGUAACCAGGGGGAGAGGAAAACUCGUGCUCGGCUUUCUGGGAACUGUUUGCUCUGAUCCUCCUAGCCUUCGUCUUGUUUUGAGUUUAACUGGUUUAGAGAUGUGAGGAACGUUUUGCAUUUAAUUUGAUGUGCUGGAGCUGCCUCCUGGAGGAGAGUUUGACAGCAUUCCUUGGGUUUUGUGGUCCUCAGAGGUUUUCUGUAGGAGUCAGGCUGUGCUAGUACUGCUUAUAUGACGAGCUUUGUUACAAGCUGUGUGCUUGUCUGUGUGCUGGUUUGCUGCAGGGAGUUUGUCCUGAUCAUCCGGAAAGAUCACUUGGUAGUAGAAACAUCUCUUUGCCUCUGCAAAUAACUCCCAGUGACCCGAGCAUUGAGUCUGGGAGUAUCAAAAAGCCACUCUAUAAAGAACGCUAACUUUCUGUCCUAAAUUGCCUUGCACUACUGUGUACAACUAGGGAAUAGUCAAAACAGAUUUCUUUGCCAUGGUGCGGGAGGAACUGAUCUCUGUGUGGCAGCUCCAGUUGAUAAUAUAGGUGUUUGGUGGAGUUGGAGGUGCCCUAUCGGAUGUGCUUGAGCUCCCAGCCUUGGUACAAAGAAGAUCAUAGAAGCACAGUGAGAAUCGCAGCAUAGUGGUAAAAACUGAGCAAACUCUUGAUAAAAACAUGUGAAACCAGCAGGCUGGUGGUCUCCUAGCAUGGACCCUGUUUAGCAGUUCCUGUGUUCCCUCUUGUGUGCCUGUGCUCGUGUAUCUCUGCUUGGUGCUGCUUCGAGGAUCCCCUGGUUGGCGAGAGCACAGAAGCUGAGCCCCAUGAACAAUGCAGCUGAUAUCUGGAGGAAACUGGAGGUGUAGAAGACAUAGUGGAAAUCAUUAGUUAUGUCCACCAGGAGACCUGAAAUGGAAACCACAGCUUAGUCAUAGAAGAGAUGCAUACCAAAGACAACUGUAUGGCAUUCACAGAAACAUUAGACCUAAAUAAUUCAGCAAACUGCCAUAUACAAAAGAUAAGCAUUCAUAGAUGAGUUAAGUUCUCUUUUCCAGAUUCUAGAGCUUGUUUGCACUCACCACUCAGGUGGUGUUUCUGCUUCUAUAUAAAGUAUUUCCCAGUAAACAGAGAAAUCAGCAAAGAAACAAAAUUGUAACUUUUUCCCAACCUGCUGAUUCACUUUGUUUACUCAGCAGAGGACCCCUGUGCCAGUUGCUGGAUUUUGGAACGAGUGACCCUGUUACAUUCCAGGUCAAAAAACAGAACAAAUAAAGAAAGAAAUCUCUCACAAAAAUGACAUGUUGGGGUCUAUAAGCUGAAGACUUGUCUCUAAAAGUAUGUAAUUGGGGAGAGAAAAAAUCACAGCACAGCAGGCAUUACAAUAAACAUUAAGUACCUCAAUGUAAAACAUUUAGAAGGGUGAUAUAUCAAGUGAGUGAUUUAACACUAAUGCUGGAUACUGAAAGGUAAUAUUCAGGUAAAACAUAUGACUCCUUUAAAGGCUGCUUAUUUAUAUGGAAGUAAUUAUUUAAUAGAUUUUAGGUCUCUAGAAAUUGAGCUUCUCUUACUGUACCUUGUUUUUGCCUAUCUGCCUCUUCCAUCACAGAUGUCCAAGAAAAGAUCUGUUUUGCACUUUGAGAAAAGUGGCUGACAUGCUUUCCCUGGAAAUACUAUUAAGUAUGGUGCAUAUUAUUCCAUUCUUAGAAUGGAUAGAUAUUUUCCUGCUGGAUGAGACACAAUUCAUUGUUUGGAGGAAGGAACUAAAACCUGAAUAGAGGAUUCAUGCUCAGGUUCACAUUUGUUUGUCAGUCUUUUGAAUGUGCUGCUGCACAGCAGGAGCAGGUGUGUCUCGGACAGGUCAAUUAGUGGUGUUUGGAGUGAACUGUGAAAUCGGUGAAUAAUUUAUUGGAUUGGGGGCCACAACUAGUUCCCUUCCUUGUCUCCAGAGAAAAAUGAAUACGCUCCAGAACACAGAAAGAAAAGUGAGUAGAAGAGCCUUUUUCUAUAAGCUUCUUCAAUUAUAUUGAGCUGGUAAUACUUCUGAUCAGAGUAAAUGUGUUUAAUGGGAUGUUUACAAUUUCUUGAGACUUCAUAGAUAAAUGAAUGCAGACUAGCAAAGCAGUGAAAGAAUUCUAAAACAACAAGAUCAUACCACUGCAAUUCCUUUCUGUGUUCUGCCACUCAGGGAAAAAGUUCUCGUCAUUCUCAUGCCUAUCAAAGCUGCCUGCCAAAUGGGGAACUUUUUCACUGUCUGCAGUUGCUCCAGUGACACUUGGGCUGCUACAGAAAUGACCCUUGUUCAGUAGUGAGAUGGGGCUGAUCAUUCCUUUCUGACUCUCCCUUUUAUAUUGCUCCCUUUACGUAACUCACCUGCCUGUGUGGACUUAGAAACUCCCUCAUUCCUCCUUUUUAUGCUCCCAAACACUUGUCACCAGUGUCUAAAAAAGCUGUUUUUGCUCCAGCUUGCUUUAAUAGCUUUUCUCACCUGUGAGAGGGGGUCCAAUGAGGAGAGUGAUACUCUCCAGAACCGUGAAGAGCCCUAGAGCGCUUGAGAACC